UUUUUAACAGGAUCAACCUCGAUUCCUCCCAUCCGCUCUCAAUAAGCCUCAGCAUUUUACCAGACAACACUCCACAAGUGCACUGAUUCGGACUCAACCUCAAUCUGAGUUGUCUCAAUCUGGUCAAACAACUUGCCCCGGUCUACCGGAUGCCCUUCUCCUGUUUGGGACUUUGCUAUCAUGUCAUCAACAUAGCAUUCGAUUUCAUGAUGAAUCAUAUCAUGAAACAAAG
rnacentral:lncRNA from 1 species